AAAAAUACGAACAAAUAUAAAUCGUUUUCAAUUACGACACGAGUCAAUAUCGGUUAGGUCACGGAAAAUUAAUGCAUCGAUAUAUCGAUUAGAUCCGAUUCGGCCUGUUUUCCUGGGUCCGGCUUUUAAAUUACCGAUUCCCGUACAGUCGCGAGUGACAGCGGUAGAGAAGACGGUUUACGAUUCUUGUGCGCCGCGUUCCCUACCGUUUGAAAAUCCCCGUUCAGAACGAUUCGUCCGAUUUAGAAUAGAUACGAAACGGUUAAUUAUUAUAAAUUUCAUCUUAUCAAAUUGUGUAUGCCGAUUAACGGA